GACGAACGCUGGCGGCGUGCCUAAUACAUGCAAGUAGAGCGCACAGUUUAUACCUUAGCUUGCUCCACCAUGGCCUGUGAGUUGCGAACGGGUGAGUAACGCGUAGGUAACCUUCCUGGUAGCGGGGGAUAACUAUUGGACACGAUAGCUAAUACCGCAUAAUAUUAAUUAUUGCAUGAUAAUUAAUUGAAAGUUGCAAUUGCACCACGACCAGAUGGACCUGCGUUGUAUUAGCUAGUAGGUGAGGGCACGGCUCACCUAGGCGACGAGACCUAGCCGAACGGGGAGGGGGAGGGACCACCCCGGGACUGAGACACGGCCCAGACCCCUACGGGAGGGAGCAGUAGGGAAGCGUAGGCAAUGGAAGAAAGUCUGACCGAGAAACGCCGCGGGAGUGAAGAAGGUUUUCGGAUCGUAAAGCUCUGUUGUAAGAGAAGAACGGGUGUGAGAGUGGAAAGUUCACAUUGUGACGGUAUCUUACCAGAAAGGGACGGCUAACUACGUG
rnacentral:rRNA from 1 species